CCGAGUUGCCCAGAAAGGAGGAUGUUUUCCCAGCAUCCUUUGCAAACCUGGCCUGACCCAUUUAUCUCACCCUCAGCCCCCAUUUCCCCCACCCCCAGGGGAGGGGGUCUGUGCCUAGACAGCACUGCACGGCAAUCUCAACAGGGCCCAGCAAUCAAUGAGCGUUCCUGGCAGCAACAGUCAAGAGCGGGAGAUGAAUCCGCAAUUGAUUUCCCACGUCAGUGAGUCAGAUCUACUCAUAGCCGUCAACAGACCAAUCCUCCUCUGCAGUUCUAGUGGCAGCGAGUUCUGUAAGUUAAUGAUGCAUUGUGCAAAGAAAGCAGCCUUUCCAAGGAAUCUGUUUGGGACAUCCAACGAAAGGAAAGACUGCUGCAACUAGCAUCCUGGGAGAGGCAGAGAUUCAACUGGUAGAGUUGCCAACUCUGACUGAAGCUUUUCCUGAAGAUUGUGUCCCCAAAAUUUGCUUCCAGUAUCUUUCAGAGGUGCCUGGGACAGGCAGAAAUUUAACAGGUAGCACUGCCAACUCUGACUGGAGCUAAAGUUCCUGGAUUCCUUUCAAUAG